ensembl:misc_RNA
CUGAAGCCUGGAGAUCUCCAUUUAUCCACCUAACAGGUGCAGCACAGGCAAACUGCCUGCCAAUGUGCCUUAUCUCUGGGUCAGAGGGACCACCUCUGAUGGGGAGAGUGGAUUCAUUCUCCCUGUGUAUUCAGCCCUUGGUUUCA